GUGUCAGCAGCCGCGGUAAAACGUAGGAGGCGAGCGUUAUCCGGAUUUACUGGGCGUAAAGCGCACGCAGGCGGCUCCGUUAGUCGGACGUGAAAGCUCCUGGCUUAACUGGGAGAGGCCGUUCGAUACUGCGGGGCUUGAGGUUGGGAGAGGGGUGUGGAAUUCCCGGUGUAGUGGUGGAAUGCGUAGAGAUCGGGAGGAACACCUGUGGCGAAAGCGGCACCCUGGCCCACACCUGACGCUGAGGUGCGAAAGCGUGGGUAGCAAACAGGAUUAGAAACCCUGGUAGUCC
rnacentral:rRNA from 1 species